UACAGAGGUCCCGAGCGUUGUUCGGAUUCAUUGGGCGUAAAGGGUGCGUAGGUGGCGCCGUAAGUCGGGUGUGAAAUUUCGGAGCUUAACUCCGAAACUGCAUUCGAUACUGCGGUGCUUGAGGACUGGAGAGGAGACUGGAAUUCAUGGUGUAGCAGUGAAAUGCGUAGAGAUCAUGAGGAAGACCAGUGGCGAAGGCGGGUCUCUGGACAGUUCCUGACGCUGAGGCACGAAGGCCAGGGGAGCAAACGGG
rnacentral:rRNA from 1 species